CAUUCCAGAUGGGGAAAACAAGCCACAGGUGAUAAUCUCCAGCACCAAGUUUCCCUGACAAGUGCAACAUUAGGUCAAAUGAUCUCCCAAGAGUACUGAAGGAACCUCAGGACACCUCUGGUUAAAAUUUUAAAGCUGAACAUCAAACUCUAUUAAUGUUUGAAUAUUUGCAUCCAUCACAAUAUGGUAUGAUUUGAAAAUAUCCCACUACAAGUACAUGGAACCUAAGGAUCAAUGGGGAAGCCAGAGAAUCUUUAUCAAGAUAUCAGGACAUGCUGAAUGUUGACAAGUAUUAGAUGACUGGUUUCGAAAAACACAAGAAUGAUAGAAUUUUCCCAUCAAGAGUGUCUGUCCACACUGGGGAUAGCAAUAUAAGCCAUCACUUUUUGAUAAUAUGUAUAACAAUGGACUGCAAGGAACAGAGAAUACAGACUCCCCAUUCUUCCUGACAUAAACUAUGUCCAUGGCAUCAGGAAUGCUGGUGAACUUGUUUCUGUCUGGAGGCUGACGAUAUUUCUUCUCACUGAUGAUUUCCGAAGCCCGCUUGUUCUUUUCUGCCUCUAAAGAACCUAAAGGACUCCAUCCUAUGCCUCUCAGCCACUCAAGGGAGCCCAGAGGGAGCCAUCCAAUGCCCUUCAUGAAGUCAGCAUAGUCAGCCUUGUACUGAUUCUGCAAAAGAGGAAAAAUUAAAUUAUGAGAAGAAACUGAAACUUCCCAAGAAUCCUAAGUGUGUGUUUAAUAUUCUGUAACUUCCACUUCAUUUGUAACUUUUCUGUAACUUUUCCACUUCAAUAUUUGCUUGAAUAUUGGUAUUUAAGCAAUAGCAUGUUGAACUUCAACCAUUUCUUCCCUAAACUUUUAUCCUUUUUAUAUUUC